UAGAGUUUGAUCCUGGCUCAGGACGAACGCUGGCGGCGUGCCUAAUACAUGCAAGUCGAGCGAAUCUUCUUCGGAAGGUUAGCGGCGGACGGGUGAGUAACACGUGGGCAACCUGCCUGUAAGACUGGGAUAACACCGGGAAACCGGUGCUAAUACCGGAUAAUCCUUCUCUGCUCAUGCAGGGAAGCUGAAAGACGGUUUCGGCUGUCACUUACAGAUGGGCCCGCGGCGCAUUAGCUAGUUGGUGAGGUAACGGCUCACCAAGGCGACGAUGCGUAGCCGGCCUGAGAGGGCGGUCGGCCACACUGACACUGACAUACGGGUCAGACUCCUACGGGAGGCAGCAGUCGGGAAUUUUGGGCAAUGGGCGAAAGCCUGACCCAGCAACGCCGCGUGAAGGAUGAAAUCCUUCGGGAUGUAAACUUCGCAA
rnacentral:rRNA from 1 species